AUUGAACGCUGGCGGCAGGCUUAACACAUGCAAGUCGAGCGGGGUGAUGGUGCUUGCACUAUCACUUAGCGGCGGACGGGUGAGUAAUGCUUAGGAAUCUGCCUAUUAGUGGGGGACAACAUCUCGAAAGGGAUGCUAAUACCGCAUACGUCCUACGGGAGAAAGCCGGGGAUCACUUGUGACCUUGCGCUAAUAGAUGAGCCGAAGUCGGAUUAGCUAGUUGGUGGGGUAAAGGCCUACCAAGGCGACGAGCUGUAGCGGGUCUGAGAGGAUGAUCCGCCACACUGGGACUGAGACACGGCCCAGACUCCUACGGGAGGCAGCAGUGGGGAAUAUUGGACAAUGGGGGGAACCCUGAUCCAGCCAUGCCGCGUGUGUGAAGAAGGCCUUAUGGUUGUAAAGCACUUUAAGCGAGGAGGAGGCUCUUUUGGUUAAUACCCAAGAUGAGUGGACGUUACUCGCAGAAUAAGCACCGGCUAACUCUGUGCCAGCAGCCGCAGUAA
rnacentral:rRNA from 1 species